rnacentral:rRNA from 1 species
GUCGAGCGACAGAUAAGGAGCUUGCUCCUUUGACGUUAGCGGCGGACGGGUGAGUAACACGUGGGUAACCUACCUAUAAGACUGGAAUAACUCCGGGAAACCGGGGCUAAUGCCGGAUAACAUUUAGAACCGCAUGGUUCUAAAGUGAAAGAUGGUUUUGCUAUCACUUAUAGAUGGACCCGCGCCGUAUUAGCUAGUUGGUAAGGUAACGGCUUACCAAGGCAACGAUACGUAGCCGACCUGAGAGGGUGAUCGGCCACACUGGAACUGAGACACGGUCCAGACUCCUACGGGAGGCAGCAGUAGGGAAUCUUCCGCAAUGGGCGAAAGCCUGACGGAGCAACGCCGCGUGAGUGAUGAAGGUCUUCGGAUCGUAAAACUCUGUUAUUAGGGAAGAACAAAUGUGUAAGUAACUAUGCACGUCUUGACGGUACCUAAUCAGAAAGCCACGGCUAACUACGUGCCAGCAGCCGCGGUAAUACGUAGGUGGCAAGCGUUAUCCGGAAUUAUUGGGCGUAAAGCGCGCGUAGGCGGUUUCUUAAGUCUGAUGUGAAAGCCCACGGCUCAACCGUGGAGGGUCAUUGGAAACUGGGAAACUUGAGUGCAGAAGAGGAAAGUGGAAUUCCAUGUGUAGCGGUGAAAUGCGCAGAGAUAUGGAGGAACACCAGUGGCGAAGGCGACUUUCUGGUCUGUAACUGACGCUGAUGUGCGAAAGCGUGGGGA